rnacentral:rRNA from 1 species
GACGAACUGUCCUAACGUUGUUCGGAAUCACUGGGCUUAAAGGGCGCGUAGGCGGUCCGACAAGUCAGGGGUGAAAUCCUGGAGCUCAACUCCAGAACUGCCUUUGAUACUGAAGAUCUUGAGUCCGGGAGAGGUGAGUGGAACUGCGAGUGUAGAGGUGAAAUUCGUAGAUAUUCGCAAGAACACCAGUGGCGAAGGCGGCUCACUGGCCCGGUACUGACGCUGAGGCACGAAAGCGUGGGGAGCAAACAGG